rnacentral:misc_RNA from 1 species
GAUUAAGAACGCAGCGAAAUGCGAUAAUUAAUGUGAAUUGCAGAAUUCCGUGAAUCAUCGAGUCUUUGAACGCACAUUGCGCCUCAUGGCAUUCCGUGAGGCAUGCCCAUCUCAGCGUUAGAAAAUAUUCUCAAAUUUUAGUUUUGUGCUAAAAUUUGGAUCAUGUCAAGGAAGCUAUUACUAUUAUUGUGAUCGCUCUUUGGAAAUUGAUAGGUCUUUGAGUUGCUACUCAUAGAACGUGAUGAAUCUUUCUUCGUUCUAUUGUAAUUCACUCUGGUAGUCCUAAAACUUGUAUGCCUGUGGCAUAUCUUGUAAUUUGACCUGAGAUUGGGUAGGGAUACCCGCUGAACUUAAGCAUAUCAAUAAGCGGAGGA